rnacentral:rRNA from 1 species
UUAACACAUGCAAGUCGAGGGGCAGCAUGGUCUUAGCUUGCUAAGGCCGAUGGCGACCGGCGCACGGGUGAGUAACACGUAUCCAACCUGCCGUCUACUCUUGGACAGCCUUCUGAAAGGAAGAUUAAUACAAGAUGGCAUCAUGAGUCCGCAUGUUCACAUGAUUAAAGGUAUUCCGGUAGACGAUGGGGAUGCGUUCCAUUAGAUAGUAGGCGGGGUAACGGCCCACCUAGUCUUCGAUGGAUAGGGGUUCUGAGAGGAAGGUCCCCCACAUUGGAACUGAGACACGGUCCAAACUCCUACGGGAGGCAGCAGUGAGGAAUAUUGGUCAAUGGGCGAGAGCCUGAACCAGCCAAGUAGCGUGAAGGAUGACUGCCCUAUGGGUUGUAAACUUCUUUUAUAAAGGAAUAAAGUCGGGUAUGGAUACCCGUUUGCAUGUACUUUAUGAAUAAGGAUCGGCUAACUCCGUGCCAGCAGCCGCGGUAAUACGGAGGAUCCGAGCGUUAUUCGGAUUUAUUGGGUUUAAAGGGAGCGUAGAUGGAUGUUUAAGUCAGUUGUGAAAGUUUGCGGCUCAACCGUAAAAUUGCAGUUGAUACUGGAUAUCUUGAGUGCAGUUGAGGCAGGCGGAAUUCGUGGUGUAGCGGUGAAAUGCUUAGAUAUCACGAAGAACUCCGAUUGCGAAGGCAGCCUGCUAAGCUGCAACUGACAUUGAGGCUCGAAAGUGUGGGUAUCAAACAGGAUUAGAUACCCUGGUAGUCCACACGGUAAACGAUGAAUACUCGCUGUUUGCGAUAUACUGCAAGCGGCCAAGCGAAAGCGUUAAGUAUUCCACCUGGGGAGUACGCCGGCAACGGUGAAACUCAAAGGAAUUGACGGGGGCCCGCACAAGCGGAGGAACAUGUGGUUUAAUUCGAUGAUACGCGAGGAACCUUACCCGGGCUUAAAUUGCAGAUGAAUUACGGUGAAAGCCGUAAGCCGCAAGGCAUCUGUGAAGGUGCUGCAUGGUUGUCGUCAGCUCGUGCCGUGAGGUGUCGGCUUAAGUGCCAUAACGAGCGCAACCCUUGUUGUCAGUUACUAACAGGUUCCGCUGAGGACUCUGACAAGACUGCCAUCGUAAGAUGUGAGGAAGGUGGGGAUGACGUCAAAUCAGCACGGCCCUUACGUCCGGGGCUACACACGUGUUACAAUGGGGGGUACAGAGGGCCGCUACCACGCGAGUGGAUGCCAAUCCCCAAAACCUCUCUCAGUUCGGACUGGAGUCUGCAACCCGACUCCACGAAGCUGGAUUCGCUAGUAAUCGCGCAUCAGCCACGGCGCGGUGAAUACGUUCCCGGGCCUUGUACACACCGCCCGUCAAGCCAUGGGAGCCGGGGGUACCUGAAGUGCGUAACCGCGAGGAGCGCCCUAGGGUAAAACUGGUGACUGGGGCUAAGUCGU